AAAAAAAAAAGCUUUUAAAAGUGUGUUUUCUGAGGAGGAGCUUGGAGCACCAUACAAAUAUAAAGUGCAUAUUGUCCUCGUGGUUUUCUGAUCUCAUUAAUCUUUCCUGUUCCUUAAGCUUCUUUAUGCUGACAUUUCCAUGUUUGCAUGUAUUUUUAAACAAUAUAUGUUUUCACCAAAAAAAUUGGCUUUUAUUGCUUCCCUAAGAGAAUUUUACUUAACAGAGGUUCAGAAAUGUUAAAUUCCCUAAGUGUCAGGGUCACUCAGAAGACCAAUGCCUGUUAGCACACUUGCAGAGGGAAAGAGGGGAAAAACCAAGCUCUAUUUGUUUGCUAGCUGGUCUGCACAUCCUAACUGACCCAGGGAGCAUGUUGUAUAGCAAAAGCUAUUCACAGCCUGUGGUGCUCACUGCCCAUCCAGCAGGGAGAUCAGCAUCACUUGAGGAUACCGAGAAGGAAAUACAGAAGAGAAUUCAGAGCUCUGUGGAAAGACACAGAGAAAGAAGGAGGUUUGGAUACGCUGUUAUUCGAGCCCACGGGAAACCUGGAGCAGAACAGAGUUUACAGAGCUGCAAGUGGUCCAAGAGUAGGACACAAGAACCUGUAAUAAAAAAGAGUUAUCUUGUGUCUGCAAAAAUCUAUAGUUGAUAAGGGUACCUGGCUUCCCUGCUGACAUACAAUUUCUAAUAUUAUACAAGGCUGAAUAUAAAUCCUUAGAAGGACUAUAUGAGCUUGAGAGACAUGAAGAUUCUCGAAAUAGCAUAUUUUUAUAACAUAUGACAAAUGGAAGGAGUAUUUUUCCCUUCAAAUUUUAUAUCAGUAAGUUAAAAACCUAGAAUGGAUUUUCUUUGGAGUUUCCCAGCCCGAAAUAGUGAAAGACAGUGGAUACUGAAUUUUUCAGUGUUGAAGAUGUGGCUUUCAAACAGUAGUCUGUGAAAGCAAGGUUAAAGAAAGAAUUGUUUUUCAGUCUUAGCACUUCAUACAUAUUAAUUGGCUAUUCCAGCUAAAACGAUAUACGUGCAGAUUUUUAAUGAAAUGCUAUGUGGAUAAGAUUGAUUUGCAAUGCAGCCGAGUUAAUUUCUGUUACUUUGCUAAUGUAAAAGUGGAAACAACUUCAAAUAGAACAGAAAAAUGACAAGAAAAAUAGUGAACAAAAAAAUCUUUGCACCAACAUAUACGGCAUUUCGGUUAAUGUUAAGGUUUACAACAAUGGCAUUGUACAUUAUUGAUAGAAAAAUGUUAAUAUGUGAAUCUAAUGUUCCAUACAGUAUUUUGAAUAUUUUAAAGUCACUGGCUUGUUCGUUUUCUUGCAGAGAAUUUCCUGAGAGAAAAAUAGACAUAGCUCAAGCCUCUCUCCAGACUGUAGCCCAGAACAUACGAUCAGACCCAUAAAAAAGAAAAGUGUUAUCUCAAAUACAGUCUUCACAACAGAUUUGGAAAGUUGUUUAAUUCUAGCUAUGCUGGUCUGGUGCAGCAAGCAGCUUCCAAAAUGGCGGGUUCCUUACUCAAAGCAGCCUGCUGGCUGUUCUGUCACUUCCCAAGGUCCAACCGAGGCUGCUGGCUACAGGAGGGAAGACAGCAUCUCAGCAGGACUUCUGUACAUCACGAACAGUAUCUUACACGUGAUCCAGAAGCACCCAGUGAUGAUUCUGAAACUGAUGUCAGUGCUCUUGCUGAAAUGUAGUAAACAAUGAGCAUCGAUUUAUUUGGGGAAUGUAAGAAUAAUAGUGCAUGUUAAAUCCUGGGUUAGAGGUCAGCAUCGGUGAAGUAUCUGCUAAAGGCUGCAGACUAAAAAUAAAUUGCUGAGAUGCUUGAGA